AUAUAUGUGACAUUCUUCAAAGUAGUCACCCUUUGCUUUGAUGCCAGUUUUGCCCCCUCGUGUUAAUCACACUGUGUUGUUGAUCUACUAGUGGAACACGUGAGAAUAUUCAUCAUCCAUUUUUACUGUGUUAAAAUUGAAUUAGAAUUGACUUAGGCAAUAGUCAUCACACCGUAUUAAUGAUGUACUACCUGCCAUUUUGUUUGUGGAAAACUUUAGUUAUAUGCACUCAAAGUUCACUGUAACAUAGAAUAACCAAUUAUUUUACCCCACCUUUUAAGUUGGCAUAAUAUGGGCAUCUUUUCAUGGUAUGAUAUUUGAAAGGCGCUAAAAUUAAUGAAUCAAUUUGGUAUCAUUUUUAUUGUGAAUUUGUGGUUCAAUUUAGCGCCAUCAGUUAUGCUAUCUAUCACUCAUAUCCAUCAGAGAGAUGUGGUGACCAGCUGGAGGCUACAUAAUAGGGGACAUCUGUAGACAGUAGGGCAUAGGACACUUUACACUAAUUGUGUGUGUGUGUGUGUGUGUGUGUGUGUGUGUGUGUGUGUGUGUGUGUGUGUGUGUGUGUGUGUGUAAACUUGUUCUCACUUUACUAGAGUAACUACAGGAGACUUUACUAGAGUAACUAGUAAAUCAUCUAAUUACUAUGCCAUCUGGUAGUAGUACAGCUAUGGAACACUAACCAUUUGUUCAAAGUCUUAGAAUUUUCAAGAGAAUACAAUGCUAAGUGCUAUGUAACUUCUUAUGCUUAAAGGUCAUUACAAAAGGUAAUUCCCAUAUAGUUACCCUUUAGUAAUACCUUUGUAAAGUGUCCUUUCCAGAUGGACGACUGAAUGACGUUAAAGUGUAGUUUUCUACUAAUUCUAGUUUUGACUCGAGUGCUUUAAGGUGUUUUUAUUGCCGGAGAAGUAAGCCCUGAGCAGCUGCUUAGAAUGAUAGACAAACCGGCUGCGUUUACACAGGCAGCCCAAUUCUGCUAUUUUUUUCACUAAUUAGAUCAGCUCUGAUAUUGAUUUGAUGUGAAAAGAAUCUGAUGUGAUUGGUCAAAAGACCAAUAAGUGGAAUAAAGAUACCAAUUGGGUUGCCUUUGUAAAUGCAGCCUUACUACUGUAGUGCUGUUUGAAAAGGUACAUGUGACAAACAGGCGGUACAUUACUUUCCAUUAUGUCUGCUGAUGUGUUUAACAGAUAUCCAUAUGCAAAUGACUACAUGUAUAAACCGCAAUCAUUUCUCUCUGCUGGAUGACACAUGCAGUAUACUAUGCAUAGAUGUGAGUGUGUGUCUUAUUGAAUACUUCUAUGAGGUUUUGAAUGUUUUCAGCUCAACCACAUUUCUCUGCAAAGAAAAAAGCUUUAAAUGCUAAAAUGAUAUCAUCAUUCAAUAAAAGUUUCUUACAACUCUG